rnacentral:rRNA from 1 species
GUACACGCUGUGACUAGCAUAUCAAUAAGCGGAGGAAAAGAAACUAACAAGGAUUCCCCUAGUAACGGCGAGUGAAGCGGGAAGAGCUCAAAUUUGAAAUCUUAAAGGGUUUCCCUUUACGAAUUGUAGUUUAAAGAAGUGUUUUCUGUUGAGGUUUGGUAAAAGUUCUUUGGAAUAGGACAUCAUAGAGGGUGAGAAUCCCGUAUUUGACCUUUACUUUCAACUUUGUGAUACACUUUCAAAGAGUCGGAUUGUUUGGGAAUGCAGUCCAAAAUGGGUGGUAAAUUUCAUCUAAAGCUAAAUAUUGGCGAGAGACCGAUAGCGAACAAGUACCGUGAGGGAAAGAUGAAAAGAACUUUGAAAAGAGAGUUAAACAGUACGUGAAAUUGUCAAAAGGGAAGCGUUUGACACCAGUGUUGUUUUUCUGAAAAUCAAUUAAAGAACUGUUUAUGCUAAGUUGUUUAGACUUUAUCAGCUAACUGUUUAGUUUUGAGCUUUUCUUUAAUGCACUUUUCAGUUAACAAGUCAACAUCAAUUUCUUUUGCUGUGAAAAAGCUUGAGGAAGGUGGCUUGAGAUUCGUCUUAAGUGUUUAUAGCCUCUUGCCUAUGCAGUCGGAGAGAUUGAGGUCUGCAGCGUAGAUCCUUCGGGGCUAAAUGCAUUUGUGCUAAGUUAUAGCAUUUUAUAGACAACUUGUUGACUAUGAUUUGUCUUGUAGCUUACUCGCUUAUGUUAUUUUACCUACGCUUAGGAUGUUGAUAUGCAUGACUGAUAU